rnacentral:misc_RNA from 1 species
UCGAGUGACAAACAUAGGAUGGAUGCUUUACGUAUCUUUCCUUCUUUCUGUGUUAUUGUCUGCAAAGUUGGCGAGUAUUCCUUGAUCCCAUGUGUCGCGUCUCGUACGUACGUACGUGUGAGAGAAAGGGUGCUCGUCAAAGGUCUUCCAUAUAUAAAUCUUUAUUAUCCAAUACAUAUACAUACACAAUACAUAUAUUA